UCUCUGGGUCUCUGUGUGAGAAUCUCUGUGUGAGAGUCUCUGGGUCUCUGUGUGAGGGUCUCUGUGUGAGAGUCUCUGGGUCUCUGUGUGAGAGUCUCUGUGUGAGGGUCUCUGUGUGAGAGUAUCUGGGUCUCUGUGUGAGUCUGGUUCUGGUGCAAGAAACGCAAGAAUGAAGCCUGCCAAUGCCCCCCUCUGCUCCACGUGGCAUGGCACUGCAGCAACUCCCCGCCCGUGUGGGCCCGUGCAGUUGCACCGCCUGCACACGCGGCAGGAGACGUGGCCGCUGGUGGUGUGCCGCGUGCUCGUAGUUUUAGUGGACUGUAUCGUCCUUGCCCGCACAGGAAAUCAAAGUGGAGCCUGGGACGCGUCACGCAGCCGCCCCUACCUGCUGCCGGUGUGCGGACACGCGUCUCGUGUGGAGCAUGCCUGCAGGACAAAGGCACGCGCACGCGCGGGCUGCGAGUUUGUGUGCCCGACCUGCAAGGUCCCCGGCCUCCUACCUGCAGCCCGACGAAGCGCUUGGAAAUUUCCUACCCACGCUGAAGGAAAUGCUGGAGGAGCGAUUUGGUGGGAAACCUCGGCCGCUCUACCCUGAGCGGCCGCUCGCGCAGGGCGGCCGCGGCGCUGGUGUCUGGCACCUAUCUUGUCGAGGGCUCUGUACAGCACAAACCACUGCACCUGGGCCACGGCCCGAAUCCAAAGCCUCCGUUCUGACGGUCAGAUUCAGGUCUGUUCCCGUAGUCGAGUUCACGUUAAAAUUUAUGCUGGGCAAUGAGUUGAUUGAAACCUAGAGAUGUAAAAUAGCAGACAGGUCACUUCUGUCACCAGGCCUUUUAGCUGCGUUCCAACCAAGGCUUUACAUAUUUCCACACCUCCGAUUAGCACAGUUGGCUAUGUACGGUGCGAAAGAAGUUCAACAUAAAUAUUCAUAAGUUUGUUUACCCCAAGAAGACCUCAAGCUUUCACGACCAUUAUCCAUAAUCGAGGUUUUUGGGUUAGACGACGUAAAUAUGAAUGUGUCGUUAAACCCGCCACCGCCAACACAGCCAAUUACUGUAGUAAGGUUUGUCACGUAAUCAAAACGUGCUAAUUCGUUACUAGUUCAGCACACUGGUGUGUUCGACAGUAAACCCCCAACAUUUACAAUUCAAUACUCUUUGGUUCUUUUGGUAAAGUCACGUAGGUAUAAAAUAAAAUUUACAAUUCGAGUACGACGUUUUGUCAGUAAUUCCAACUCACAUCAACAGGCGAUAGCCAGGGUUGUUAAGAGCGAAGCAGGAGGAUUUCUCAAGAGAUAAAUGUGAUGUCUCACUUGUGGGGCAAUUAGGCCGAAGGCCGGGGGGGGGGGAGGUUAUAAAUGCAUAUAAAUUACAAUGGAUAUCCAAUAUCGGUUGGGUUAUUCAUAGGAUAAUCAACAGACAUACAUUCACAUUAUGCAUGCACACCAUGCAUAUCCAUCCUGCCGUUUUUGGUUGCAAGAAAGACGGGUUUUUUUUAUUCCAGCGUUCAGAUAGUUGCCCAGUACCAGUUACGUUGCCAUGGCGUGUUGUAGGCUGAAGCAUUGACGCUAGAGGAUGACCGAAACUGAAUUUCUGGUUUCGGCCCAAACCGAAACCAGACCGAAAGUUAAAUAUUGGCUUUUGGCCGAAACCGAAGCCGAAACCGAAAGUUGAACUUCACUUUCGGCCGAAACCGAAAGUUUAACUACACUUUCGACCGAGACCAAAACAGAAAGGUUUAUAACCAAAGUUACCGAACACAAGAUUUAUGAAAUACUAGCUUUACUACCCGGCUUCGCCCGGGACUUGGAUUCACCACGGCCAGCUGCCUUUGUCUCCCCAGUGGCGAUGUUGACACACCACUUACUCGUUUGAGGCUGAGUCGACCUAGGGGAGGCCCAGGACCAGUUCAAAUAAUCGUCACCGGCGGUGGCCAUGAGUGGGAAUUGAACUUUGGUCGUCGGGUUCGUAGCGCAGCGCGCGAAUCGCUACGCAGUCGCUGCCCCCCCCUACAUACACACAGGAUAAGGACAAAAAUCCACCAUGUAGCCUGUGAGACUGUAGGGGGCAAGUGCUGUUAGCGAGUACCUAUGAAGGCCGGCAUGGCACACGAGGGGGUGGGUGGCCAGCACCACGCCAUGUUCGUAGCGCUAAGCGCUACACAUGCGCGGGUGACAUGACAGAUGUGACGUCACAGCUCGCUUGCCGUGCAAAAUAUAUGCAUUAUUGCACCCCCCCCCCCCCAAAAAAAUAAUACCAAAGUGUAUGCAUGGUGUACAGUAUGGAAAGUACCCACAUGGCAAAUUUAAAGUUUGUUGCAUGUCGGGAAGUACGCUAAACAUUUUGAACAGACACAUUCACAAAUUUUCAUUUUUUAUAUAUAGGUCAUGAUGCAAUGCUACUUUAAUAAAAAAUGUAUCUAGAACUAAUCAUUCAGAGCCUGCAGUAAGAGUCGUUAAAUAUCAAAUCUUUAGGUGUUACUUGGUGAUUAUAUCUAAACAAACGAAUGUUGUAGUUAAGAAAUACCAGUUUUUCCGCAUUCUCGCCCAGCAGGUUGCUGUUUCUUGCAUCAGAAUCGACUUUAGUGAUUAACUGCUCCGUUUAUUAAGUUUAAUUUUCUACUUCACUCAGAUUCGUAAUUUUGUUAUCACUAAUUCGCUACGUAACUAUUAACUAACUGAAUAACAAUAUUGUCAGAUUUCAAUUUAAAGCUUUCGUGACUGCAGGGAUUCAUCUUCUUGGUUCUUUCGGUAAAGUCACAUAGAAGGGAAAUAAUAAAAUAAUAAAAAUAAAACAUAAUAAAAUAAUUCUCACGACGUUUCAGCCACAACGCAAGCAGCUGUCCUCAGGUGAAGAAUUCUUCAUUUUUUUAUUAUGUUUUAUUUUUAUUAUUUUAUUACUUCCCUUCUAAGUGACUUUACCGAAAGAACCAAGAAGAAUAUUGUCAGACUUCGAAUCUCUGUAUCAACACGCGUGUAGACUGAAGAGAACGCAACACAUAAGCCAAGGCGGGCAGGCGGCUGGAAACAGACAACAACGGCACUUUGUUGUCGUCCCGCCAAAGAGACUCCACCCACGGAUGCAAAAGCAGGCUGCCGUCUGUUGACAUUAACAGACCAUCGUUGCGGCUGUAACCUCGCUCCCAAGCUGCUGCUGAUGUGUUUUUGCAGCCUAUCGCAGGAUUGCCUAGCGCCGACUGACCGGCCGAUAGGCAGAGAGAUAAACGUAGCACUAGCGUUAUAUUCUAAAAAUAGAUCUUCGGUUGACCGAAAGUCAAUAUCAGGUUCGGCCGAAAUCGAAAGUAAACCGAAAGUAAAAAAUGUACUUUCGGCCGAAACCGAACGUAUGUCGAAAGUGGCCAUUUGCCAACUUUCGGCACCGAAACCGAAUUUCGGUCGGCCUUUACUUUACGCAUCACCUCUGUGCGACCGACUGGGGAUCGCAGCAACUUGAAAAGGUGAUCAAAUGUACAAGAGGGGUUGGUAUGAAUCCUAUAGCUAUUUGGGACUUAGCUUGGAAAAACAAAACCAAGCAUGUGUUUAUCAAAGGAUUAUUCAAUAUUGGGCCAAAACAGGAUUGUUGAUUACAGUAGACUCUCCAUUUUCCACACUAAUGACCGGGAGGAUGGCCACGGCUAAUUCAAAAUCGUGGAUAAUCCCAAAUAUUCAUCUUCCGUGGAUCUCUAUGCCAAAAACCACUAAAGUAUAGUGGUAUAAGUUAUGUUUAAGUUAAGAAAAUUGAGUUGGUUAAUGAAUUAAACUAAAAUUGUAGAACUCACGAUAGAUCGAUGUGCGUGCUCAAUGAUAACAAUUUCCUGCUUCCGCGCAGACGACUCGGCCCACAAAGGGGACAGCAGCAGAGCCACGUCAAUCAACAUCAAUCAUUGCAAUGGACAAUUUUACGUGAUUGCAUUUACUGAUCUGACCGAGGUGGUGGCACGUGCCUGUAAACUCAUGGGGCUGACAGGUGGCAGUAUAGAAAGUUGGGGCACGUGACUUGUCUGUGCGGCCCUGUGAAUGUUGUCCCCUUGUGCUCGUGGGCUUUCGCUCAUUACUCAGUGCUGCAAAGCAGUGGCAAUGGGAGCCAAGUACAGUAGACUCUCGAUUGUUCGCGCUAAUUAGGGGAGGACGGCUGCACUAAGACCCAUAGAAUCAUACACAGACACACAGCCUCACAGCCUCACACAGACACCCAUUGACUCACACAGAAACCCAAAGACUCACGCAGGAACAAUAUACUUGCACAAUGACCCUUAGAAUCUCACACAGACACACAGCCUCACACAGACACCCAUUGACUCGCACAGAAACCCAAAGACUCGCACAGAAACAAUAUACUUGCACAAAGACCCAUAGACUAACACAGCGACGCAUAGACUCACACAGAGACCCAUACACUCACAUAGGGACAAUAUACUUGCACACAGACACAGACACCGAGACCCAAUGACACACACAGAGAAAAAAAUCCCACAGAGACCCAUAGACUCACACAGAUACCCAUAGACUCACACAGAGACCCAUAACCUCACACAUAGACCCAUACACCCACACAUAGACCCAUACACCCACACAGAGACCUAUAGACUCAAACAUAUACCCAUAGACACACACAGAGACCCAUAGACUCACACAGAGACCCAUAAACUCACACAAAGACUAUACUUGCCCAAAGACCCAUAGAAUCACAGGAAGACACAUUGGCAAACACAGAGACACAGACUCGCACAGAGACACAGACACCCAUUGACUCACACAAAUACCCAAAGACUCACACAGGGACAAUAUACUUGCAAAUAGACCCAUGGAAUCAAAAACCCAUAGACUCACACAGAAACAAUAUACUUUCACAAAAAACCAAUUGACUCACACAGAGACCCAUAGACUCACACAGAAACAAUAUACUUUCACAAAAACCCAUUGAAUAACACAGAGACACAAAUACACACACAGACCCAUGGACACACACAGGGACAAUAUACUUACAAAAAGACCCAUAGAAUCGCACAGGGACAUUAACUCACACAGAGACAAUAGACUCACAAAGGGACAAUAUACUUGCACAAAGACCCAUAGAAUCAUACACAGACACACAGCCUCACACAGACACCCAUUGACUCACACAGAAACAAUAUACUUUCACAAAAACCCAUCGAAUCACACAGAGACACAGACAUACAUCGACUCAUAGAUUCACACAGGGACAAUAUACUUGCACAAAGACCCAUAUAAUCACAUAGAGACCCAUAGACUCACACACAGACACACAGCCUCACACAGACACCCAUUGACUCACACAGAAACCCAAAUACUCACUCACUGGGACAAUAUACUUGCAAAUAGACCCACAAAAUAUCACACAGACACACAGCCUCACACAGACACCCAUAGACUCACACAGAUACCCAUAGACUCACACAGAGACCCAUAACCUCACACAUAGACCCAUACACCCACACAUAGACCCAUACACCCACACAGAGACCCAUAGACUCAAACAUAUACCUGUGGGGGCCGUUGGCCCCCGGGGUCCCUCCCGCCUGCAUCCCCUAUUCCAUUUACGUUACCCCACCUCCUUAUUUACCCGCUACGGUUUCGCCGGCAUUCGAACACGACGCCCCUACUGUUACAGCCUCGCGCCGCGCUCCCACGCUGCGAGCAUACGUGCGCACAGCAUCAUCAAUCAGACGGCACACUCCCCCUCUUUACACCGCUACGUACAGCUCUCGCACGCUGCGAGCGUGUGCCCGUCUAUAGCCCUGUGCGGCACUCGCCUCCACGUCGAAUAACCACGUUACCAAUGCGCAUCCGUAUCCGACACAUAACGAACGUAUGCGCACUCACGCAUACAGCUCCCCGCGGCACUCCCUCACCACUGAAUACUCGCGUUAUGAUCGCGCACCUGUAUCACACACGGAGUGAACACACGCGACACCCACUCUCGCGCCACUCUGCGCAGCGCUCCCCCGAGGCGAGCCGCAGCACUACACUCACCCCUGACUACUCGCGUUAUGAUCGCGCACCUGUAUCGCACACGGGGUGGACGCACGCACACACACGCAGCUCCCCACGCGACACACUGCUCAACAAGAUCACGCGAGACCACGCUUCGCUAUUAAUGAUUUAUUAUCUGCUACCUGCGAAUUAGAUGUUAAAUCAGUGAGUCGACGAGGCUGGCCUACGCUGAUACCUUUAUACCUAUUCCCGAUUUAUCUGCUAUGAUUCUAAUUCACCUUCUUACUCACUGUUAGAAGUAUUCGGCGUCCUGUGGCUUUUCCUCUAUGCCGUCGCGACACGUCACGCGGACGUCCGGAGGGCAGAGCUGGGAGCCAACUUGCACGCGUGCCUCUUGAAGAGAAGUGAGAGCCUCUCCCUUGCUGCGAUCCCUUUUAUCCUCUGUCCCGUACUCCCAAAGGCGCUCCGCUCAUGAGCGGCGCAUAUGCUAAUUAAUCCUCUGUCCGCGCGGCGUAAACUCUAAACAAUCGCUCGCGCACCUCCUGCACGCGCACGGCGGCUCCGCAGCGCCCCUGACACGCCAAUCAAUGUCCUGCCCGCGCGGCGCAAACUCCAAACAAUGGCUCGCGCACCUCUUGCACGCGCACGGCGGCUCCGCGGCGCCUCCACGGUGCUUUUAAAUGCUAAUCAGUGUGCGGCGUGCGCGGCGUAAAUCCCAAUUAAUCCCUUACCCUCCCUAACAAUGGGGCCUGCGCGCUCAAGCGCAACCAUCCCAACCUUCCGUGACUAUGCGCAAGAGCCCCUGCGGUCCUGCUACUCAUGCUAUCCCGUCCUUCCCCUGCUUGUCUCGUCGACCCGUGGGGGUGUGUGUGGGGGGAAAUGCGCCUCAACCGCGGUGGCCGAAUGCCCCACGCCGCGACCACACCACACUAAGGCCAGUCGCAGCGCCGCGGCGCAACGUAGCACGGGGGAGGUCGUCCAAUUCCCUGAUCGCCGGAAACCGUGAGAGUUAAUCCCGAUAAGGGUUUCUCGGAUAAAAACCGGCCGAUCAGGUGAUCUCCCCUUCCAGCUCUAUGGGAGGGGGAAAAUGCGUGCGGGUGUGUUCAUGUGAGGUGAGGUGGGGGGGACGCGGGGUCGGCUCCGUUGCUUGGUGGUGGCGAGGUCGGGGAUUGGGCGCCUCCCGAACGGCUUCGUGGCGGCGGCAUCACAUACCCAUAGACACACAGAGACCCAUAGACUCACACAGAGACCCAUAGCUCACACAAAGACUAUACUUGCCCAAAGACCCAUAGAAUCACAGGAAGACACAUUGGCAAACACAGAGACACAGACUCGCACAGAGACACAGACACCCAUUGACUCACACAAAUACCCAUCGAAACACAUAGACAAUAUACUUGCAAAUAGACCCAUAGAAUCUCACACAACCACACAGCCUCACACAGACACCCAUUGACUCGCACAAAGACCCAUAGACUCACACAGAAACAAUAUACUUUCACAAAAACUCAUUGAAUAACACAGAGACACAAAUACACACACAGAGACCCAUGGACACACACAGGGACAAUAUACUUACAAAAAGACCCAUAGAAUCGCACAGGGACAUUAACUCACACAGAGACAAUAGACUCACAAAGGGACAAUAUACUUGCACAAAGACCCAUAGAAUCAUACACAGACACACAGCCUCACACAGAGACCCAUAGACUCACACAGAAACAAUAUACUUUCACAAAGACCCAUUGAAUCACACAGAGACACAGACAUACAUCGACUCAUAGAUUCACACAGGGACAAUAUACUUGCACAAAGACCCAUAUAAUCACAGAGACCCAUAGACUCACAGAGACCCAUAAACUCACACAAAGACAAUAUACUUGCACUAAGACCCAUAGACUCACACACAGACACACAGCCUCACACAGACACCCAUUGACUCACACAGAAACCCAAAUACUCACUGGGACAAUAUACUUGCAAAUAGACCCAUAAAAUAUCACACAGACACACAGCCUCACACAGACACCCAUAGACUCACACAGACACCCAUAGACUCACACAGAGACCCAUAACCUCACACAAAGACCCAUAGACUCACACAGAAACAAUAUACUUUCACAAAAACCCAUUGAAUAACACAGAGACACAAAUACACACACAGACCCAUGGACACACACAGGGACAAUAUACUUACAAAAAGACCCAUAGAAUCGCACAGACAUUAACUCACAGAGACAAUAGACUCACAAAGGGACAAUAUACUUGCACAAAGACCCAUAGAAUCAUACACAGACACACAGCCUCACACAGACACCCAUUGACUCACACAGAAACCCAUAGACUCACACAGAAACAAUAUACUUUCACAAAGACCCAUUGAAUCACACAGAGACACAGACAUACAUCGACUCAUAGAUUCACACAGGGAUAAUAUACUUGCACAAAGACCCAUAUAAUCACAUAUAGAUACCCAUAGACUCACACAGAGACCCAUAAACUCACACAAAGACAAUAUACUUGCACUAAGACACAGACUCACACACAGACACACAGCCUCACACAGACACCCAUUGACUCACACAGAAACCCAAAUACUCACUCACUGGGACAAUAUACUUGCAAAUAGACCCAUAAAAUCUCACACAGACACAGCCUCACACAGACACCCAUUGACUCACACAAAGACCCAUAGACUCACACAGAAACAAUAUACUUUCACAAAAACCCAUUGACUCACACAGAAACCCAUAGCCUCACACAGAAACAAUAUACUUUCAGAAAAAAACCCAUUGAAUCACACAGACACAUAGACAUACACACAGACCCAUAGACUCACACAGGGACAAUUUACUUGCACAUUGUCCCAUAGAAUCACACAGAGACACAUAGACACACACAGAGACCCAUAGACUCGCACAGGGACAAUUUACUUGUACUUUUCAAAUAUACUGCCACCACCUCCUCUUGUUUGCCCGUCUCAUCAACAUAUAUUCAAUCCUUAAAUUUCUAUUAGGCUAGGGAAUUAUACGUGAGGUAAGCCAUGUUUCAGACAGACAGAAGAUGUCUGGAUAAAGAUGAUUGAAUUCAAUCUUGAAUUGCUCAAAUUUUGCUUUCUGGCCUCUAAUAUUGAUGUGGGCAAUGCCAACACCCUGUCGGUAUUUUAAAUCUAUUGAGUUACAUGGUGAGUGAUGGGGAAGGUGUGGCACUAAUGCAACCAGGAUUGGUUUGAACACCCAACAUAAUCAACAAUAUAAACAUUGAUUGUUUUAGAAUGUAUUUUCUACUAGAGUGCCAUCCUAAAUGGCGUUUUCUGGCAUAUAGAGAGGUAUGUUUGUGAUUCAUAUUUAAGCUUCAUAUAACAGGAGGUUACGUAUGAAACAAAUAUGAAUUGUAGAAUAUUGAAGACUGCAAGAACAAAAUGAACAUAAUAUAGGAGAUGCAUUGUUUGAGAAAGUAUGUGGGUUUGUUGUGUCUGAUGAAUGAGGUCACAUUGUCAGAGAAUUUGAUGGGUUGGCUGACAAUGGGGUAAAAAGACAGCUGAUUUACUGGGUGGGAGACCAGCAGCAGUCUGCUCUACCGGUCCUCAACAGCCCAGUAGCAGCACAUACAGCAGCCAGGGGAGGACCUCUUUCGAGUGGGAGCUCAUCCCAGGGUCUUGACCGCGAUCUGACAGCUGAGCUCGGGUGGGUUGAAGAUGCGCAUGAGGUCCCCAAGCUGGUGGAGCGGCACGCCGCCCAUCCAGCUGUAGUGCCAUAGAUGGGCCACACUUACCAGCAGUGGUGGACAGGGCCCAUCUGCAGGUAGCUCGAACCCCCAGGGGAGGGGCCACUGUACCAGCCCAAGAGGGGCGGGGCUUGCUGGGGGCUCUCGGAUCCUAGACAGCUAAGCCCCUUGGCGCCACCAAUGGGGGGGGGCUGUGUGUGCUCUGUGGGGUAUCUAGGGGCACACACAAUCCCACCCCUCGAUGGGCAAGAGGCAUAAAAGGGCCGCUCCCUGGUCGAUCGGGGCCAGUCGCAGCUCAAGUCCCAAGACCAGCCAGCUUAGGACCCUGGACCCCCUCGUCCCGCUUGUCCUUGUAAGGGCCGGGACGCUGUGCGGGCCAGUGGUGGGACUCUGGGACUCCCGGCUCUACGUCCUUGCAAGGGCGAGUUCCGAGGAAGCCAGAGUCUAGACCCGCACCUUGGCUGGGUCGGGUCAGGUAGCCUCCCCUCGGGUAAUUGUAGCCGGAGGACCCCAGAGCGUAGCUAGAGUCAGGUACGCUAAGAGUAGGCUGUGUCGCUAGGCUGUGUCGCUAGGCUGUGUCGCUGGCUGUGUACCUAGGCUGUGUACCUAGGCCGUGUACCUAGGCCGUGUACCUAGGCCGUGUACCUAGGCCGUGUACCUAGGCCGUGUACCUAGGCCGUGUACCUAGGCUGUAACAGAGUAUCAGGACUGUUGGAGUGUUGUAUUAUAAUAAAGAAGUUACCUCUACAAGUGUCUCCGGAACCCAUUACACAGCUGCUGCUGGAUAACUGGAUGCGCAUCUUGGCCGCCAGCUGCUCGGCCUCACUGCGUGUUCGGCACAACAGCGCCUCUACGCUGAAGCCAUUGUUAAGCAGCAGUGACACGAGCAGCCGGGCCGUGAGCCCCAUGUUGAACACCCCCCACAUUUGGGCAGCCUGGCUCCCUCGCUUUGUCUCUCCCAGCUCCUCAUCCUGGUCCCAAGCUUGAGUCUCUCCCAGGGGUCCCAGGUGAUGGUGAUGACUGGUGGUGCUGGUUACUCUUAUUGGUGGUGACUGGUGGGGGUGAUUGGUAGUGAAGAUGACUGGUGGUGAUAGUGACUUCGUGGUGACUGAUGGUUACUAUUGAUGGUGGUGGCUGAUGGUUGUGCUAGCGGUAGUGUAGAGGUUAACGCGCUGUGCAACAUAUGUAUCGAUCCGAAUUCGAUUUCUGCUCAUGGCCAACGAGAGUGACGAUUAUCUUAACUGUUCCUGGGCCUCCCCGACGUCGACUCAGCCUCCAAUGAGUAUGUGGUGUGGUGUGUAAACAUCUCCACUGGGGAGAAAAAUGCUGCCAGGCGUGUUGCUGGCCACCUAACGUCGUGUACUGUGCCGGCAUUAAUAGGUGAUCACUAACAGCACUUGCCUCAACAGUCUGUUAGUUAAGUAUAUACGGGGGAUCUUUUUUUAUAUGAUGAUGAGCAUGAUGGUGGUGAUGUCUAAUAGUGCUCCAGUGUGAUGAUGGUGAUGACUGUAACAUAGUGAUUGAGAUGAUGAUGCAAUGGUGGUGGUGGUUGGAGGUGACUGAUGAAAGUUGCUGUUGUGAUGGACCUGUCUCCUUGUCACACCUCUCUACUCAAACUUACUCACCUGGGUCUGUCUCCUUAUCACACUCACCUUUACUUAUGUAAUAAAGGUCGUGGAAGCGACUUCUGGAAUCCGGUCUUUAUUUGUCUUUCGUUCACAACACUCCCAUCUUACUCCUUCACGCUGCUGACAGACAGCGUGAGAGGGAGAGAGAGAGACGCGCGCGGCCACGUGGCAGCCUGGACCCCGCUCCAGCGUGGCCUCACCCUCCGUUCCAGAUCUGACCACGUGUUGUCCGUCUCCACCCCUUUUAAUACCCGGGUCACGUGGUACCUUUCCACCAAUCCUGGUUAACCUCUAUAGAAUCUUCUAGACUCCAUCGUACGCUCCCAGGACCACGCCCCUGACUCGUCCCCCCAUUGGCUGUGGCUAAAGCCAGCAGAACCAAUCCUCUACUUACAGAUGUCACCUUCCCAUUACGUCAGGGCCACGCCCCUAGACUUCCCCCCAUUGGCUAUGGGCCAGGACCGGCAGAGCCAAUCAUCGUAACGAGGUGUGAUCCAUCAGCAACCCGGAUAUAUCCUCACAUUACAAUUACACUCCUGUCUCUACCCAUACUCAUCUGGAUUUGUCUCUGUCACACCUCUCUACCACGUUCACUCACCCUGGGUCUGUCUCACUGUCACACUCACCUUUCUACCCACACUCACCUGGAUCUGUCUCACUGUCACACUCACUUCUUCCCACGCUCACCUUGGUCUGUCUUACUGUCACACUCACCUCUCUACCCACACUUAUCCGGGUCUGUCUCACAGUUGCUGCUCAUCCUCCCGUCGUCAACACUGAAGUAUUUCCGAACAACACGCGGUUCAACCCGAAAGCACUUCAGAGAGCUACAUGGGCUCAAACCCCAGGCCCUACACAGUCCUGUGAUGCGUCUUAUUUUUAUUAUCCAUAUUAUGUGUGGCAAAGGCAUGUGGCAGACUAAAAAAUAUAACACAAGGCUGUCCAUACAGGGUGUUAGGCCUGGGGCAAAUCACAGUGUGGGCCCCCCGACGCCUUCAAACUCAACCGGAAGUUUUACAUCUGACUCCUCU